rnacentral:lncRNA from 1 species
UUCUUUGGAUUUUGGAGUAUCGCUUCCUGCCCCCGCCUUCCCUCCCCGCCCCAUUCUCUGUCCUAUUGAACACCUCGCCCAGCCUAGAGCUCACAUUCUCCCCCUGCUCCCGAUGGCGCUCCUGGAAGCUCUGCAACUAUGCUCCACUUCAAAUGGUUGUUCUGAUGUUCCUUUCAGCUGGUCCUAUAGCCCCCUUUCUCAGUAAUGUCUCCCCAGUGAAAGGAAAAAGACUGCAGAGGCUUCAGACUGACGGACGCUCAUGCCAACUGUGAAGUUGAAACAAAGCCAGUGACCAGCUGAAGAGGCCCCUCCUGCCCAGCAGCCACCCACAUGGUGCAGUUGCAGCCAGUAGUAAUCUUUGCAAGAAGCAGAGAAGCCCAGAACACUCAUGAGUCAAAACCAUGCCCUUCCUUGUGUGUAUCCCUGUCUCGUUCAGAUUGAUGCUCCUUCCAUUUGGAUCCUGGUAUGAAUAUGCUUGUUACUGUACGAGUGUAAAAAGCUUUGCCCAAAUGUGUUAAUGUAUGAAGAGACUGGAUUUUUUUUGGGGGGGGGAGAGAGUUAUUUUUAUCAAAACACAGUGUUCGUUCUUGAGAGUGAUCUAGAAAAUAAAAAGCAGUUGGAAAAGACAGCAAAGCAGUCACAGGCGAUCCACAGAGAUGCUCACACCACCACACAGAAACACCACACCAUGCUCCCAGACUCUGAGCAGGGAGCUUGACUCUGUGACAUACUAUGGCUGCUGCCAGGGGUCAACGUCAAGCCAGACAAAGGUGCAGAAGCUUCCUGAAGUGUAGUGAUAAACUGAGUCAGGAGACAAUAAGAACAGCAACGACACAAAAGACAACGUCCUUGGAGGGAGCCAAGUGGGUUUGCUUAAGGAAGGAUGCUCCCUUAAAGAGAGAAUGGGAAAUCAACCUUUAAAGGAUGUAAAAACAAAACUAGAUAAAUGGGAAGAUAGGAGAAAAUAGAGUCCUUAAUGCAAGCAUAAGGGUAAGCAGCAGACGGGCAGAGGAGAUCCACAUGGUGAGUCUUGGAGACUACACAUAUCUCGUCUUGAUUUUGCCUGACACUUGGAACCGCUGUCUGUGUGUCUAGUAGAGAUGCUGCACACAGGUAUCUCCCCUCCCCCACCCCGAAUGUCACCUAAACCAAACUAGAACUAAAGUUCCAGUUCUGUGUCACUACAAAGAUUGGUUGGUGAUUCCUGAAUAGAAGUCAUGAUUCUUCUGUUCGUGAUUGCUUGUUACCAAGUUUAUUCCAUACAGAAAAUGUUUUGCAUAUUAAAUCUCAUGGUUGCUAUGAAAACGACACAUUAUCCACCUUUCACAGGUGAAGGAACUGAUUUUGGUGAGGUUGAGCGCCUGGCCAAGGUGCUACGUGCAGCUAUGCACAUUCAAGGUUGUGGUCAUGAAACUCAGUCCCUAGUCUGACUUUUGUGAUGAGUCCCAACACAGUUGUCACCUUUACCAUAGCCCUUAAUGCCUGUCUACAGAAAGACAUGGCUUUUCUGCUGACUUACAGCCACAGUAUUUCCUACUUCCAUGCUGAAUUAUACCAGAAUGAUAAAACGUAUUUUCAUGGAAGAAAAUUGAGAAUUUAGUGAAAUACACUGCUUGCCAGCAGUUUGUAUGUUUCUUCUUCAUUUUGGUCUGAGACUUUUGAUUUAGUUCUGCAUGAAAUCUCAAAGUUUUAAGAGCAGUAAGGGAAGGGCCUUAAGUUACCUGUUAUAGUACUUUGUGACAGAAGAUGUAAAUCUACAACCUGUAAUCAGAGUGACUUUACAAACAAACAACAAAAAGACACCCCUCCCCACAAAAACUCAAAUCAAACCAACCAACCAAACAACAAAAUAAACAAAACCGCCCACUUAAUUGGAAAUGUCCCAACAAAGACCAGAAACUAAGUCCUCUUUCAAUGGCUUUUAAAUUAUUCCACCCUGUCCUAAAGAAACAUGAACUUGUAUUUGACUAAAGGCACCAAUGUUGCAUAGAUUGGAUCUCAUAAAAUCUAGUUUCUUCCUUCCUUGGUACUCAUGUCAAUGUUAAAUACAGCUAUGAACUAGUGUAUCUAUGUCAAGAAGUUGUCAAUGAUCUGUCCCCAAAGAACACAGAAUAGCCAAUGUUGUAUAUAUACUCCUUCUUUAAUCCAGCCAUGGAGUCAUUAGUUCACCUGCACCAAUCCAAUCCAUUGUGCAUCUUCUCAACCAACCUGACCUAUGGCAAUCAUUUGCAAGUGCUAUAAAUGUUUAUCUAUGACUGUUCCAGAAAUAGUUAGGUAUUAACAAAUACCACUAGUCAUUUUGUGGUGUAAUCUUCAUUUAUCUGUAUCACUAAUUCAAGAAGACUUUGGCCAUAAAAACCUAGAACUAAAAAUCGCAUUCUUGGCUUUCAGCCACUCUACAUUUGAUUGACAUUUCACAGUGAUUAAUAAAUUGUCCAUCUAAAUAACAUAGAUGUCCAGAUUGUGAUUUUUGUCUUGAAUGAGACCGUUAAACUGGGUAGGCUAAGGGACAGAUGUCUAACUUUUUGAGGUACCUGGAUAUUUAACUGAUGUAAUUUUCUACUUAGCUGUUUGACAUUGUUGUAUGUAGUCCUGGUCAUGGCUUUGACUGUUCUCUUUUUUCAAAAUGCUUGUUGGCUCUGUCUUACACUGUUCUCACUGAUCUCAUAAAUAAACAGGUUUGUUGUUAAAGAGUA